UCGGUUGGUGAACCAGCGGAGGGAUCAUUACCGAGUGCGGGUCCUUUGGGCCCAACCUCCCAUCCGUGUCUAUUGUACCCUGUUGCUUCGGCGGGCCCGCCGCUUGUCGGCCGCCGGGGGGGCGCCUCUGCCCCCCGGGCCCGUGCCCGCCGGAGACCCCAACACGAACACUGUCUGAAAGCGUGCAGUCUGAGUUGAUUGAAUGCAAUCAGUUAAAACUUUCAACAAUGGAUCUCUUGGUUCCGGCAUCGAUGAAGAACGCAGCGAAAUGCGAUAACUAAUGUGAAUUGCAGAAUUCAGUGAAUCAUCGAGUCUUUGAACGCACAUUGCGCCCCCUGGUAUUCCGGGGGGCAUGCCUGUCCGAGCGUCAUUGCUGCCCUCAAGCCCGGCUUGUGUGUUGGGUCGCCGUCCCCCUCUCCGGGGGGACGGGCCCGAAAGGCAGCGGCGGCACCGCGUCCGAUCCUCGAGCGUAUGGGGCUUUGUCACAUGCUCUGUAGGAUUGGCCGGCGCCUGCCGACGUUUUCCAACCAUUCUUUCCAGGUUGACCUCGGAUCAGGUAGGGAUACCCGCUGAACUUAAGCAUAUCAAUAAGCGGAGGAAAAGAAACCAACCGGGAUUGCCUCAGUAACGGCGAGUGAAAGCGGCA
rnacentral:rRNA from 1 species